rnacentral:misc_RNA from 1 species
AAGGAGCACCACGAAAAGCAUCCCAACAAGUGGGGUGCAAGCCGUGAGGGGUUCUCGUCUGUAGUGGACGAAAGCCGGGUGCACGACAACAAGCAAAGCCAGACACACUAUUGGGUCCUGAGGCAACACUCGGGCUCUGUUCGAGAGUUGUCCCACCAUCUUGGUGGUGGGSUGUGGUGUUUGAGAAUUGGAUAGUGGUUGCGAGCAUCAAAUGGAUGC